UCAUCCUACGGGGCGCAGCAGUGGGGGAUAUUGCACAAUGGAGGAAACUCUGAUGCAGCGACGCCGCGUGAGGGAAGACGGUCUUCGGAUUGUAAACCUCUGUCUUUGGGGAAGAAAAUGACGGUACCCAAAGAGGAAGCUCCGGCUAACUACGUGCCAGCAGCCGCGGUAAUACGUAGGGAGCGAGCGUUGUCCGGAAUUACUGGGCGUAAUGGGAGCGUAGGCGGGCGAGAAAGUUGAAUGUUAAAUCUACCGGCUCACCUGGAAGCUGCGUUCAAAACUUCUUGUCUUGAGU
rnacentral:rRNA from 1 species